AGGAAAGAGAAAAGGGUGGUGGGAAUUGAAGGAGCACAAAUGGAGUGAGGCACUGACGAUCAAAAGGAGGAAGCACUAGAGUAAUAUACUAGCGUUUGAAAAGGUUAAUAUGAAGAAAAUAAUAUAUAUUAGACAAAGGAAGGAUGCCUAGACAAAAUAUAAACUUUUACUGAGAAAUUCAGUUUGUUACUUUAAGGCAGUACAUGGCAGUAGAUGUUUGGAGUUGAGUAGGAAAAAAAAUAAACAAACAAAUGAAAAAAAAAGUAGACAGAAUGUCAAAUGAGCAAGAAGAAAGGGCUGAUUUGAAGGGGUGGCUAAAGAAACCCUGGGCAAAGACACAGCCCGGUCACCGUGGGCACAGUCACAUUUCAGAAGAGCCAAGCUGGCACGAUGGUUCACCAUAAUGACUACGUACAUGGCAAUAUUUCUCUAAUGAGAGCCACACUGCUUGAAAAUAAAGCAGCAUUAGCGGUCCCUUGUAAGAAGGGAAGCUGACCCUCUGGCUGCUGCUUCCUGUGUGUCCAGCUCCAUUUGCCCAGUCUGCCCGCCUCCGUGACCCUCCGCAGCACCGGCUGGAGCUCCGCAGCGCAUGAGCAUGGAGCUGCUGCAGAAGAAAGAAGCAGCGUGUGGAACUGGAAGGCUACAGCGAGCAAGAGGAGGAAGCGGAAGCCUGUGGAUGGGGGGAAAGAGAGAGGCUCUCUGGGCAAAAGCACUCCCUGUUAGCGGGGACACAGUCAUGUUUCGGUAGAGCGCUGCCGGCACUUGGGUGACCAGGCCGGGUUUGUGCUGGGCGACCUCCCUGUAAGCAGGGCUCGGGUCUUUGCUGUAGCUGGCCUUUUGCCUUGUUGCUCCUUUGGCUGCCUGGGGAGCGUGGCCCCCGUACGGAGGGCGAGAGCCACCUCUCCGCACCUGAGUGGGAAAUGGAGCUCGCCGUACCCCACGGCCACCCUGUAAGCAGGGUAGGUGCCGUUUCCCUGCCCCUCUUCUCCCGGCCCC
rnacentral:lncRNA from 7 species